GUUAUACCCACAGCAAUAUCUGAACUGCACUCAAAUAAGCUGCCCCAGCCCCGGCACUUCAAAGGAGGGUCCUGGGCUGCUACGGUGAGGAGUUUAAGGACAGGAGGGAAAGUCGGCAUCUACCUUUCCUACUUCGGAAUCUGUUUUUAAACAGAGAUUCAAGUGUAGAAGUAACAAGUGCCCUCCUCAACACCGUCUUGCUAAUCGCAUCGCUGCCUUCUGCGUCUUUACGAGACUUCUGGGGGGCUGGUAGCUAAGGGGGUUACUGUAUGCAACUCAUUGCUGUGAUUGAAAUCCUGCCCGCUGUCACUUCAGAUUGUAAAUGAAAAUUUGCACAAAGCAGGGCUUCUAAAGAAAGCAUCUGUGGCAGCAACAGCUGGAUCUCUGCAAGUGGGAACCUGAGGCUCAGCAGGAAAAGUUUGUAAGAGUUCGGUUCUAGCUGUCUGAAAACUGCAACGGCAUCAUUACCGACACUGGACACAAAAUGAAUGUGUCUCCCACCGGUUGAAUGACAAGUAUCCGAUCAAAAACGAAGCUCAGAUUCGGGGUGUUGAGUGGACUGUGCAUGCGGGAAUAUUUUAAAACAGCAGUGUACAGCUUUCUUGACCAAUUAAAACAGUUGAAAAGGUUGUAUAAGAAAA